rnacentral:rRNA from 1 species
AUUGAACGCUGGCGGCAUACCUUACACAUGCAAGUCGAACGGUAACAGGUCUUCGGAUGCUGACGAGUGGCGAACGGGUGAGUAAUACAUCGGAACGUGCCUAGUAAUGGGGGAUAACUACUCGAAAGAGUGGCUAAUACCGCAUGGGAUCUACGGAUGAAAGCAGGGGAUCGCAAGACCUUGUGCUACUAGAGCGGCCGGUGGCAGAUUAGGUAGUUGGUGGGAUAAAAGCUUACCAAGCCGACGAUCUGUAGCUGGUCUGAGAGGACGAUCAGCCACACUGGGACUGAGACACGGCCCAGAGUCCUACGGGAGGCAGAAGUGGGGAAUUUUGGACAAUGGGCGAAAGCCUGAUCCAGCAAUGCCGCGUGCAGGAUGAAGGCCUUCGGGUUGUAAACUGCUUUUGUACGGAACGAAAAGCCCCGGGUUAAUACCCUGGGGUCAUGACGGUACCGUAAGAAUAAGCACCGGCUAACUACGUGCCAGCCGCCGCCGUAA